UACGAAGGGGGCUAGCGUUGCUCGGAAUCACUGGGCGUAAAGCGCACGUAGGCGGCUUUCUAAGUCAGGGGUGAAAUCCUGGAGCUCAACUCCAGAACUGCCUUUGAUACUGGGAAGCUCGAGUCCGGAAGAGGUGAGUGGAACUCCGAGUGUAGAGGUGAAAUUCGUAGAUAUUGGGAAGAACACCGGUGGCGAAGGCGGCCAACUGGACCACAACUGACGCUGAGGCGCGAAAGCGUGGGGAGCAAACAGG
rnacentral:rRNA from 1 species